rnacentral:rRNA from 1 species
UACAGAGGUCUCAAGCGUUGUUCGGAUUCAUUGGGCGUAAAGGGUGCGUAGGUGGCGCCGUAAGUCAGGUGUGAAAUCUCGGGGCUCAACCCCGAAACUGCACUUGAUACUGCGGUGCUCGAGUACUGGAGAGGAGAUUGGAAUUUACGGUGUAGCAGUGAAAUGCGUAGAUAUCGGAAGGAACACCAGUGGCGAAAGCGGCUUCCUGGUCCAGCACCGACGUUCAGGCACGAAAGCGUGGGGAGCAAACAGG